rnacentral:rRNA from 1 species
AAGAUUUUAAAAGUCGAACAGACUUAAAAUAAUUAUUUUCUACAAUAAAAUUUAAUCUUAAUUCAACAUCGAGGUCGCAAACACUUUUAUCAAUAUGAACUCUCCAAAAAUAUAACG